AGUGAACGCUGGCGGCGUGCCUAAUACAUGCAAGUCGAACGAUGAAGUCCUAGCUUGCUAGGCUGGAUUAGUGGCGCACGGGUGAGUAAUAUAUAGUUAAUCUGCCCUACACAGAGGAACAACAGUUGGAAACGACUGCUAAUACCUCAUACUCCUAUUUGACAUAAGUUAAAUAGGGAAAGUCUUUUCGGUGUAGGAUGAGACUAUAUCGUAUCAGCUAGUUGGUAAGGUAAUGGCUUACCAAGGCUAUGACGCGUAACUGGUCUGAGAGGAUGAUCAGUCACAUUGGAACGGAGACACGGUCCAAACUCCUACGGGGAGGAGCAGUAAGGAAUAUUGCGCAAUGGGGGAAACCCUGACGCAGCAACGCCGCGUGGAGGAUGACAGUUUUCGGAGCGUAAACUCCUUUUAUCAGGAAAGAAUAAUGACGGUACCUGAUGAAUAAGCACCGGCUAACUCCGUG
rnacentral:rRNA from 1 species